AUUUGUCUCACUGCAAGGAUGCAAGCCUGAAAAGCUUUCCACUGAUCCCUGAGGCAACAAUCCCUUCGAGCUGACCACAGUGCAUGGAAAGAAGUGCUCUUAACAAGCUAGUGUGUUAAAGCCACCAAGGUGAUCUGCUGUGCCCAGCUGUGGCAGAAGGCUGCCUUCCCUGCACUGCCCAGUGAGUGUAGAAGCUGUCUGGCAUUGGCAGGCCUGGCAUUUCAUGCAUGGUGCCCAACACUAGCACAGUGAAGCCCAGGUUUCCAGGUAUGUUCUUUCUGGGCUUAUUUCUACCAUCGUGUACCAGAGCAAGUAGUAUCUUACUCAUCACUGAAUUUCACUUAGUCUUAGUCAGAGAGAUGGAAUUGGUCCUACAACAGCAACAAUAGCUUUUUAUCUGCAUCCUUUCCAACUCUCCCUACAUGGCCUUCCCACCACAAUAACAAACAGGAGCUCUCAGAAAGCAGCAGCAAGUUCAGAGAGAUGUGGCUCCUCACCAGUUUGAGUUUUACCAGGUGGUGUUUGCUUUAAGACCUUGAGCUAUAAAAUAUCCAUGCUAAUAUUGAACUCCUGGGAAGACAUAAACCCUUCAAUGAAAUGGAGAACUAAACACUUUUAAAUAUACUUCUAACAUGAAUCUACCUAGUCUCUCUUUUCAGAAACCAAAGAUUAAAAUGACUUCUAGGCAAGUCCCUAUAUUUGAUAACAGGAGUGGAUUACAAUCUCUCCCACUCUCCCUGCUAUUACCCUUCCUUCUCUUCCUGCACUUGAAUCUGGACAUGAGUGGACAUUGAGGAAGAGGUUUUGUGCCUACCAGCAGCCACAAUACUUGUGUCACAUCCAACUCCAUAUUGCAAGGUGCUGAGUAACAGCUCAUGAUCCCUAUCAAGUAAUGGCUCCAGGGUUUGUUUACCAACAUCCACUGGAGACUCCAGCUUUUCUGUAGAAACAGAAACUGAGCCCAGGCUUAUCCAGGAAGCCCAAAAGUCCACGUGGGCACAUCCCUGGAGAAGACAGCCACAGCUCAGCCUCCUGUUUUACCUCUUGGACUGCUGUGUCCUCUGAGACAGACUCCAUUGAGAUCUCUGUGAAAUGAAUGAUGUGACUUACCAGUAUCACACAAGCUGUUCCAAGAAUAUCAGCAAGGCACUGGAAAAUGGCAGGGAGAGACUGGAGACUUUCCUGAGAAGGUUUUACCCAGUGAUGGAAAAUAUAUUUGUGUUAUUACUUUAGCACAAGUGUCUUCUAUAAUGCUAAGGUUUGCUUUCAAAUAAAACAUAAAUUGCACAUCUGGUUGGAAGAAAUAAAUGCAAUAGUGCUUCAAAGACUAUCUAUCAGGCUUAGAAAGCAAAGAGAUGAGGAUUUAUUGGUGUUUUUAUUAUGAACAUAAAAGCCUUGGGAUCUCAAAAUAGACCAGGGUUAUAGGUAAAUAUGGGUUCUAUUUUCUUCUUUGUUUGCCUUAACAUAUUAUUAGCAUCAAGCUAAAAAAGGAUCAUCUGAAUGUUAAUAUGUUUACUGUGUGCACAUGGAUAUUAGCUUAAUCAAUACACAGACGUAGAAGACUGUAGAGAAAAGUAUGCACUACAAGUGUAUUCAUCAUCUUAAACAUUUCAGACAGCAUCUUCAUUCUGGAGAUACUAUUUGCUUAAGAAACCCCAUUCUUGAUGUGCUUUUGCAAUUGAACAAGCAGUGAAAGAAGUGGGAGUUUCUAAAGUAGAUUACUUAUAAAAUUAAAAUUUGAGGAAAUUCGGGUAUAAAUAACAUGUCCAAAUCAGGAAAUAUUUGGUGGUUGAAGACAUACACAUUAGAUUUCCUGCCUGAGCUGCUGGUGACUCCAGCCUCCUUUCCAGGAGAAAAUUAUCCUGUGCAACGCUGGUUAAAGCCUUGCAUGAGUCACUCCAAGGGGUUGGAGGGGCCUGUACAAAUCCUGGUCCCCACUUUCUCCUAAAAAUUGUCUGCAAGAGGUUCAAUUUUGCUGUGUCAGGACCGGGUUGAAUCUUUCAUAGGAUUUAAAUUAAAUCCUUGGCAACCACUUUCUGAUUUUAUAGCAAAAUCUGACCUAUGUGUUAAAGUGAGGACAUUGUUUUGCUGGGUUAUUGCUUAAUUACUAAAUGAAGAAAUAUUAAGUACUUUUUAAUGACUCAUACAAUAUUUCCAAAUGACAUGUACUAUAAAGUCCCACUUACAUCCACCACACUGGUGUUUAACUCACUUUCCAUUAUUCCUGAGGCUAUUAAUGUCAGUAAUUACAGCAGGUAACAUGUCUAAUA